rnacentral:rRNA from 1 species
CGUAAGAGCUCGUAGGUCGUUUGCCACGUCGGAUGUGAAAACCUGAGGCUCAACCUCAGGCCUGCAUUCGAUACGAGCAAACUAGAGUUUGGUAGGGGAGACUGGAAUUCCUGGUGUAGCGGUGGAAUGCGCAGAUAUCAGGAGGAACACCAACGGCGAAGGCAGGUCUCUGGGCCAAUACUGACACUGAGGAGCGAAAGUCUGGGGAGCGAACAGGAUUAGAUACCCUGGUAGUCCAGACCGUAAACGGUGGGCACUAGUUGUGGGAACCUUCCACGGUUUCUGCGACGCAGCUAACGCAUUAAGUGCCCCGCCUGGGGAGUACGAUCGCAAGAUUAAAACUCAAAGGAAUUGACGGGGCCCCGCACAAGCAGCGGAGCAUGCGGCUCAAUUCGACGCAACGCGAAGAACCUUACCAAGGCUUGACAUAUAGGGAAAAGUGGCAGAGAUGCCAUGUCCGCAAGGGCUCUAUACAGGUGGUGCAUGGUUGUCGUCAGCUCGUGUCGUGAGAUGUUGGGUUAAGUCCCGCAACGAGCGCAACCCUCGUUCUGUGUUGCCAGCAUUUAGUUGGGGACUCACAGGAGACUGCCGGGGUUAACUCGGAGGAAGGUGAGGAUGACGUCAAAUCAUCAUGCCCCUUAUGUCUUGGGCUGCACGCAUGCUACAAUGGCCGGUACAGAGGGCUGCAAUACCGUAAGGUGGAGCGAAUCCCAAAAAGCCGGUCUCAGUUCGGAUUGAGGUCUGCAACUCGACCUCAUGAAGUUGGAGUUGCUAGUAAUCGUAGAUCAGCAACGCUAC